ACGUAGGGGGCAAGCGUUAUCCGGAAUUAUUGGGCGUAAAGAGUGCGUAGGUGGUUUUUUAAGCGUGAGGUGAAAGGCAAUAGCUUAACUAUUGUAAGCCUUGCGAACUGGAAGACUUGAGUGCAGGAGAGGAAAGUGGAAUUCCUAGUGUAGCGGUGAAAUGCGUAGAUAUUAGCAAGAACACCAGUGGCGAAGGCGGCUCACUGGCCCGGUACUGACGCUGAGGUGCGAAAGCGUGGGGAGCAAACAG
rnacentral:rRNA from 1 species